rnacentral:rRNA from 1 species
GAUGAACGCUGGCUGCGUGCCUAAUACAUGCAAGUCGAGCGAACAGAUGAGGAGCUUGCUCCUCUGACGUUAGCGGCGGACGGGUGAGUAACACGUGGAUAACCUACCUAUAAGACUGGGAUAACUUCGGGAAACCGGAGCUAAUACCGGAGAAUAUAUUGAACCGCAUGGUGCAAUAGUGAAAGACGGUUUUGCUGUCACUUAUAGAUGGAUCCGCGCCGCAUUAGCUAGUUGGUAAGGUAACGGCUUACCAAGGCAACGAUGCGUAGCCGACCUGAGAGGGUGAUCGGCCACACUGGAACUGAGACACGGUCCAGACUCCUACGGGAGGCAGCAGUAGGGAAUCUUCCGCAAUGGGCGAAAGCCUGACGGAGCAACGCCGCGUGAGUGAUGAAGGUCUUCGGAUCGUAAAACUCUGUUAUUAGGGAAGAACAAAUGUGUAAGUAACUAUGCACGUCUUGACGGUACCUAAUCAGAAAGCAACGGCUAACUACGUG